rnacentral:rRNA from 1 species
AGAGUGAACGCUGGCGGCAGGCCUAACACAUGCAAGUCGAACGGCAGCGCAGCCCCGCAAGGGGUGGGCGGCGAGUGGCGGACGGGUGAGGAAUACAUCGGAAUCUACCCUGUCGUGGGGGAUAACGUAGGGAAACUUACGCUAAUACCGCAUACGACCCACGGGUGAAAGCGGCGGACCGCAAGGCGUCGCGCGACUGGAUGAGCCGAUGUCCGAUUAGCUAGUUGGCGGGUAAAGGCCCACCAAGGCGACGAUCGGUAGCUGGUCUGAGAGGAUGAUCAGCCACACUGGAACUGAGACACGGUCCAGACUCCUACGGGAGGCAGCAGUGGGGAAUAUUGGACAAAUGGGCGCGAAAGCCUGAUCCGAGCCAAUGACCGCGUGUGUGAAGAGGUCCUUCGGUUAGUAAACGUCCCGUUUUAGGUACGGAAAGUAAAUCCUAGUUACGGUUAACUACCCGGGCGGGUA